rnacentral:rRNA from 1 species
UACAGAGGUCCCAAGCGUUGUUCGGAUUCAUUGGGCGUAAAGGGUGCGUAGGCGGCGCGGUAAGUCGGGUGUGAAAUCUCGGAGCUUAACUCCGAAACUGCAUUCGAUACUGCCGUGCUUGAGGACUGGAGAGGAGACUGGAAUUUACGGUGUAGCGGUGAAAUGCGUAGAUAUCGUAAGGAAGACCAGUGGCGAAGGCGGGUCUCUGGACAGGUCCUGACGCUGAGGCACGAAGGUCAGGGGAGCGAACGGG